GAAAUGCGAUAAGUAAUGUGAAUUGCAGAAUUCAGUGAAUCAUCGAAUCUUUGAACGCACAUUGCGCCCCCUGGUAUUCCGGGGGGCAUGCCUGUUCGAGCGUCAUUUCACCACUCAAGCCUCGCUUGGUAUUGGGCGACGCGGUCCGCCGCGCGCCUCAAAUCGACCGGCUGGGUCUUUCGUCCCCUCAGCGUUGUGGAAACUAUUCGCUAAAGGGUGCCGCGGGAGGCCACGCCGUAAAACAACCCCAUUUCUAGGUUGACCUCGGAUCAGGUAGGGAUACCCGCUGAACUUAAGC
rnacentral:misc_RNA from 1 species